AAUAGAUACCCGGGUAGUCCACGCCGUAAACGAUGAGUGCUAAGUGUUGGGGGGUUUCCGCCCCUCAGUGCUGCAGCUAACGCAUUAAGCACUCCGCCUGGGGAGUACGGUCGCAAGACUGAAACUCAAAGGAAUUGACGGGGGCCCGCACAAGCGGUGGAGCAUGUGGUUUAAUUCGAAGCAACGCGAAGAACCUUACCAGGUCUUGACAUCCCGGUGACCACUAUGGAGACAUAGUUUCCCCUUCGGGGGCAACGGUGACAGGUGGUGCAUGGUUGUCGUCAGCUCGUGUCGUGAGAUGUUGGGUUAAGUCCCGCAACGAGCGCAACCCUUAUUCUUAGUUGCCAUCAUUCAGUUGGGCACUCUAAGGAGACUGCCGGUGAUAAACCGGAGGAAGGUGGGGAUGACGUCAAAUCAUCAUGCCCCUUAUGACCUGGGCUACACACGUGCUACAAUGGACGGUACAAACGGUUGCCAACCCGCGAGGGGGAGCUAAUCCGAUAAAACCGUUCUCAGUUCGGAUUGUAGGCUGCAACUCGCCUACAUGAACG
rnacentral:rRNA from 1 species